CCUACAGCUCCCGCAAAGGUGCCUUCGCGGCGGCCGCGUCCCCGCAAGGCCGGCGCCGGAGGGAGCCGCUCUCCAGUUCUGUGGCUUUAAGCAGGCGAAAUCCCCCCGGGGUGGCCCACGCGUGCGCACAGCCGGCACCCACCGGCGGCCACGGGUCGCAAACAAGCCCCGCAACUGUCACCAAAGCCCUGCAACUGUCACCGAGCCCUGCGACUGGCACAACACCCGCGGCGUGCGCUGGAGCGCGGCCAGGGAGGAGGCGGCUUCAGCACAAGGCUCCGAACCCGCCCGCCCGCCGCAGGACGGCGAGGAAAUGUGCCUUUUGCGCGGAUUUUGGUCUAAAAAAAGAGUACAUCGUCCCACUGGAAGGAAAGGACAGCUGCUCCCUGGGAUAGCAAACCGAAUAAUCACAGCAAACCACUGUCAGCCAAAUGCAGUGAAGCCACCUCAAUUUCUCAUACCUGCUUAACCUCAUCAACCAGCGUAUCUCCUAGCAAGAAGGGGAAAUGUUGGCUUGUCUGUGAGAUGAAAGAAUGCAGCUUCAGAGCCCAGGCAACGUGCAUCUCUGAAAGAGAAGGGAGGAGCCAUCAACGUCUGCAUCAUGGAGACCACUGACCACAAUCCCCACCCAGCCCUUGCCAGAACAGCAUCUCUCAACAGCACCCAAGGAAAUGUUCUCUGUGCUGCAUGUGUCACCUCACAGAAACACAAGCCUGAGAGCCUGCAAGAUGCAGGAGCAGGACCUCAGGUCUUCCAUCUCCAUCCAUAAAACCAAACGGCUGGAGGGCUGUGCAGAGCUGUGGUUUGCUCCCCAAAGCUGCUCACAUGUGGUGUAACCCGAGCACCAAAUAAUCUUGGGCUGGAAAGAUACACAUGCAGUAAACUCGCCUUGAGAAAAUAAUUUCAUCAUUGAAAAAUUUGCACAUCCAAGAUUUUGCAUGAUUCAAAGGAAAGAUAUUUUCAUAAAUACCUGAGGAUUUGAGGACUGGCAGUUGUAGUAUUUGUAGAGUUGUUUGCAAUAAUGCUUUUGGAAUAAACUUCUGGAUUAAUCUUUUCUUCCAU